GAUGAACGCUGGCGGCGUGCCUAAUACAUGCAAGUCGAGCGAACAGACGAGGAGCUUGCUCCUCUGACGUUAGCGGCGGACGGGUGAGUAACACGUGGAUAACCUACCUAUAAGACUGGGAUAACUUCGGGAAACCGGAGCUAAUACCGGAUAAUAUAUUGAACCGCAUGGUUCAAUAGUGAAAGACGGUUUUGCUGUCACUUAUAGAUGGAUCCGCGCCGCAUUAGCUAGUUGGUAAGGUAACGGCUUACCAAGGCAACGAUGCGUAGCCGACCUGAGAGCGUGAUCGGCCACACUGGAACUGAGACACGGUCCAGACUCCUACGGGAGGCCGCAGUAGGGAAUCUUCCGCAAUGGGCGAAAGCCUGACGGAGCAACGCCGCGUGAGUGAUGAAGGUCUUCGGAUCGUAAAACUCUGUUAUUAGGGAAGAACAAAUGUGUAAGUAACUAUGCACGUCUUGACGGUACCUAAUCAGAAAGCCACGGCUAACUACGUG
rnacentral:rRNA from 1 species